rnacentral:lncRNA from 1 species
CUGGUAAUCUGGAAAAUCUUUUCAGGAAUCAACAUGAUAGAGGUCGAAGUUUGACUUUAGAAGAAGGAGGUGCGCAGGUCUUGCUUGAAUUUCUUCUGCAAAUGCAGGAAGGGAAUCCAAAAUUUUUCUAUUCUGUGGACUUAAAUGAGGAGCAUCGAUUGAGGAAUGUUUUCUGGGUUGACGCCAAAGGCAUGGAUAACUAUUCCAAUUUUGGUGACGUGGUGUCAUUUGAUACUACAUACUUCACAAACAAAUACAAAAUACCUUUGGUUCUCUUUAUUGGAGCAAACCAUCAUGUUCAACCCACCUUACUAGGUUGUGCACUAAUUGCUGAUGAGACAGUGCAUACGUUCAUAUGGUCAUUGGAGCAAACCAUCACGUUCAACCCACCUUACUAGGUUGUGCACUAAUUGCUGAUGAGACAGUGCAUACGUUCAUAUGGUUGAUGCGGACAUGGUCUCUGGCAAUGGGUGGGCGAGGUCCACGAAUUUUAUUGUCUGAUCAAAACGACAACAUCAAAGCAGCUUGUGGAGCAAUCUUUCCGAAAACCGGGCACUACUUUAGCCUGUGGAGUAUAUUGGAGAAGAUCCCAAGGCAUCUUGAAUAUCUCAGUCUGUGGCAUGAUACAUUUAUGGCAAAAUUUACUAAGUGCAUAUAUAGAUCAUGGACUGAAGAACAAUUUGAACACAGAUGGUGGAAGUUGAUUGAAAAGUUCAAUCUUAGAGAGGACGAGUGGGUUCAAUCAUUAUAUGAAAAUCGCAAGCUUUGGGUGCCUGCUUUUAUGAGGGAUGUAUCUUUUGCCAGUUUAUCCACGGCUUCAAGAUCUGAAAGCAUGAACUCUUUCUUUGACAAAUAUAUCCAGAGUGAAAUGUCUCUUAGAGAAUUUAUUGGACAACAUAAGCUAAUCCUUGAAGACUGGUAUGAAGAGGAAGCCAAAGCUAAUUUUGAUGCAUGGCAUGAGAUGCCUGAGCUUAAGUCUCCCUCGCCCUUCGAAAAACAGAUGUUGCUCAUAUAUACUCAUGAAAUAUUCAAGAAGUUCCAAGUUGAAGUAUUAGGAGCCGCUGCAUGCCAUCUAAAAAAAGAAUCAGAAGACGGCACAUCUAUAACAUAUGCUGUCAAAGAUUUUGACACAAAUCAGGACUUCAUGGUGGAGUGGGAUGCGCCGAGGUCGGACAUAUACUGCUCAUGCCAUUCAUUUGAGUACAAAGGUUACCUUUGUAGACAUGCUAUUGUGGUUCUUCAAAUGUCUGGCGUCUUCAAUAUUCCGUCUAAGUAUAUAUUGCAAC